rnacentral:rRNA from 1 species
CUACGGGGCGCACCAGUGGGGAAUAUUGGACAAUGGGGGAAACCCUGAUCCAGCAAUGCCGCGUGUGUGAAGAAGGCCUGCGGGUUGUAAAGCACUUUCGGUUGGGAGGACUGCUUCUAGCACUAAUAUUGUUGGAAGUUGACGUUACCUUCAGAAGAAGCACCGGCUAACUCCGUGCCAGCAGCCGCGGUAAUACGGAGGGUGCAAGCGUUAAUCGGAAUUACUGGGCGUAAAGCGCGCGUAGGCGGCUAGAUCAGUCGGGUGUGAAAGCCCCGGGCUGAACCUGGGAACUGCAUCCGAUACUGUCUAGCUUGAGUACAGGAGAGGAGAGUGGAAUUCCACAUGUAGCGGUGAAAUGCGUAGAUAUGUGGAGGAACACCAAUGGCGAAGGCAGCUCUCUGGCCUGAUACUGACGCUGAGGUGCGAAAGCGUGGGGAUCAAACAGGAUUAGAUACCCCCGUAGUC